rnacentral:lncRNA from 1 species
AUGGUAUGAUGGAAUGGUGGUAACCUUUCUCUCGUAGCUCCCCACUCCUAUAAAUAAGGGAUAAGAGAAUGGAGAAAGAGACAUUCUGGAUGAAAAAAAAAUAGUGAAAUGUAUAGAGGUAAAAGAAGAAGAGGAAGUACGAAGUGUGUGAUUUUUUAGAGUAUUUUGAGAUUUUAGAUAAAAAUUUUGAGGAAACUCUAUUAAAUUUGUGAGAGUAGAGAAAAAAAAAGAGAAGAGGAAGAAGACUCACGAUUAAAGUGAAGUUAUAAACUGUUAGAAAGGUAAGUUUUUUUCUUAAGUUUU